GAUGAACGCUGGCGGCGUGCCUAAUACAUGCAAGUCGAGCGAACGGACGAGAAGCUUGCUUUUCUGAUGUUAGCGGCGGACGGGUGAGUAACACGUGGAUAACCUACCUAUAAGACUGGGAUAACUUCGGGAAACCGGAGCUAAUACCGGAUAAUAUUUUGAACCGCAUGGUUCAAAAGAGAAAGACGGUCUUGCUGUCACUUAUAGAUGGAUCCGCGCUGCAUUAGCUAGUUGGUAAGGUAACGGCUUACCAAGGCAACGAUGCAUAGCCGACCUGAGAGGGUGAUCGGCCACACUGGAACUGAGACACGGUCCAGACUCCUACGGGAGGCAGCAGUAGGGAAUCUUCCGCAAUGGGCGAAAGCCUGACGGAGCAACGCCGCGUGAGUGAUGAAGGUCUUCGGAUCGUAAAACUCUGUUAUUAGGGAAGAACAUAUGUGUAAGUAAAUGUGCACAUCUUGACGGUACCUAAUCAGAAAGCCACGGCUAACUACGUG
rnacentral:rRNA from 1 species